rfam:Drosophila melanogaster chromosome 3R.
CUCGAUUCUGUCAGAUUGAUUGUGCGGAUUGUGUUAUAGGAACACUGGUGUAUCGACUUCUCUGCUCCACUAUGGGUGAAGGAUACC